rnacentral:rRNA from 1 species
UGAGCAAUCUGCCCUUCUCUUUGGAAUAAGCGUUGGAAACGACGUCUAAUGCCGAAUACGACCUCCUUUCGCAUGAUCGGAGGUGGAAAGCUCCGGCGGAGAAGGAUGAGCUCGCGGCCUAUCAGCUAGUUGGUGUGGGUAAUGGCCCACCAAGGCGAUGACGGGUAGCCGGCCUGAGAGGGUGACCGGCCACACUGGGACUGAGACACGGCCCAGACUCCUACGGGAGCAG